rnacentral:tRNA from 2 species
GCAGUCGUGGCCGAGUGGUUAAGGCGAUAUGCUAGAAAUCCACUGGGAUCCUCCCGCACAGGUUUGAAUCCUGUUGACUGCG